CCUACGGGUGGCUGCAGUAAGGAAUAUUGGUCAAUGGACGAAAGUCUGAACCAGCCAUGCCGCGUGGAGGAUGAAGGUCCUCUGGAUUGUAAACUUCUUUUAUAUGGGACGAAAAAAGGCCUUUCUAGGCCGUCUGACGGUACCAUAUGAAUAAGCACCGGCUAACUCCGUGCCAGCAGCCGCGGUAAUACGGAGGGUGCAAGCGUUAUCCGGAUUCAAUGGGUUGUAAGUGUGCGUAGAUGUCUUGAUUGAAAUCUCCUAGCUUAACUUGGAAACUGCCAUUGAUACUAUUAAUCUUGAAUAUUGUGGAGGUUAGCGGAAUAUGUCAUGUAGCGGUGAAAUGCUUAGAUAUGACAUAGAACACCAAUUGCGAAGGCAGCUGGCUACACAUAUAUUGACACUGAGGCACGAAAGCGUGGGGAUCAAACAGGAUUAGAUACCCGAGUAGUC
rnacentral:rRNA from 1 species